AAACAAUAGCAUAAACCUCUUACUCCUCAGCAAAAUGAAGCCAUUUUCUUUUUUGUCCUCUAUAGUUUUGUACAUAUACACUCAUCUUCUUUUUCUGUUCACCUCUAACUUAAUGUGGCUUGGUCCAAACAAAAUUGUGGUAGUGGCUGCAAUAUUAGGAAACCAAACAGAUCAUUUGGCAUUGCUCAAAUUCAAAGAAUCAAUAUCCACUGAUCCAUUUAAAACUCUUGAAUCUUGGAAUUCUUCCAUCCACUUUUGCAAGUGGCAUGGAAUCAAAUGCAGCCCAAUGAAUGAAAGAGUUAUAGGGUUGAACCUAGAAGGAUAUCAGUUACAUGGUUCUUUAUCUCCUCAUGUUGGCAAUCUCACCUUUUUGAUAAAUCUCAACCUUAGAAACAAUAGCUUCUAUAGAGAAAUACCACAGGAGUUGGGUCAGUUGAUACAAUUGCAACAACUUUAUCUUACCAAUAACUCGUUUGAGGGUAAAAUUCCUACCAACUUGACAUAUUGCUCCAAUCUCAAAGAUUUAUACUUGGAUGGGAAUCUUCUCAUUGGUAAAAUACCAGUUGGAAUUGGUUCUUUGAAAAAGCUUCAACGAAUGACUGUUUGGAAAAACAAAUUAACCGGAGGAAUCCCUUCAUUCAUAGGGAAUCUUUCUUGUUUAACGGGGUUUUCGGCUGGUUCUAACAACUUAGAUGGAGAUAUUCCACAAGAAAUAUGUCACCUCCAAAACUUGACAAUUUUAUUUCUUGGCGAGAACUAUUUUUCUGGUAUGAUUCCUUCUUGUCUUUACAAUAUCUCAUCACUUGUUGAGAUCUCACUAACACUGAAUAACUUUCAUGGCACUCUACUACCCAACAUGUUCAACACCCUCCCCAAUCUCCAAGCUUUUGUAAUCGGCCAAAAUCAAAUCUCUGGUCUAAUUCCAACAUCCAUUAUAAAUGCAUCUUUUGUCUUAAAAUUUUUUGAUAUCAGUAACAAUAAUUUUGUCGGACAAGUUCCAACUCUAGGAAGGCUAAGAGAUCUUCUAUUUCUCAAUUUGGAAGGGAACAAUUUAGGUCACAACUCAACUAAGGAUUUGGAGUUCUUAAAAUCUCUGACAAAUUGUAGUAAGUUGCAAGCGGUUUCUAUAUUCAAUAACAGUUUUGGAGGUAUUUUGCCAAAUUCCAUAGGAAAUUUAUCCACUGAACUUGAAGAACUAUAUCUCGGAGAUAAUAUGAUAUCAGGAAAAAUUCCUGCAGAAUUAGGACAUCUAAUUGGCUUAAUUCUCUUGACCAUGGAAUAUAACUACUUUGAAGGGAUUAUUCCACCUACUUUUGGAAAAUUACAAAAUAUCCAAAAGUUCGCAUUUGGUCAAAACAAGUUGUCAGGUGAUAUACCACUCUUUAUAGGAAAUCUCAGUCAAUUGUACCAUUUGGAUUUAUAUCGUAAUAUAUUUGAUGGAAAUAUUCCUCCAAGUAUAGGAAACUGUCAAAAGUUACAAUUUCUGGAUCUUUCUCAUAAUAAGCUUAGAGGAACCUUACCUUUAGAGGUUUUUAAUCUUUUUUCUUUAACAAACCGCCUAGACUUGUCACAUAACUCUUUGAGUGGUAGCUUACCAAGAGAAGUGGGUAUGCUAAAACAUAUUGAUUGGCUAGAUGUCUCUGAGAAUCAUUUGACUGGGGACAUCCCUGAAACUAUUGGUGAAUGCAUAAGCUUAGAGCACCUCAACUUACAAGGGAACUACUUUGACGGAACAAUACCAUCCUCUUUCGCAUCUCUCAAAGAUCUGCGAUAUUUAGACCUUUCAAGAAAUCAACUGUCUGGGUCAAUUCCCGAUGUUAUGCAAAAUAUCUCUGCUUUAGAACAUUUAAAUGUAUCUUUUAACAUGUUGGAAGGUGAGGUACCAACAAAUGGUGUCUUUGCAGAUGCAACCCAAGUAGCAAUGACCGGAAACAAUAAGCUAUGUGGAGGUAUUUCACAAAUGCAUCUACCACCAUGUCCUAUCACCCGUAGGAAACACACAAAACACCAUAAAUUCAGGUUGAUAGCAGUGAUAGUUAGUGUGGUUUCUAUUCUUCUCAUAAUUUCAUUUAUUAUAUUUAUGUACUGUAUGAGGAAAAGAAAUCAAAAACGAUCUUUUGAUACACCAACAAUUGAUCAACUAGCUAAGAUUUCAUACCAAGAAUUGCAUCAAGGAACCAAUGGGUUCUCACCUACAAACUUGAUCGGAUCAGGAAGUUUUGGUUCUGUGUACAAAGCAAAUCUUGUGUCGGAUGAUCAUGUUGUUGCUGUAAAGGUGUUGAACCUCAAAAAAAAGGGAGCUCACAAGAGUUUCAUUGUUGAAUGUAAUGCACUCAGACAUAUUAGACACCGAAAUUUAGUUAAGAUCAUAACAUGUUGUUCGAGUACAGAUUACAAAGGUCAAGAAUUCAAAGCUCUAGUUUUUAAUUAUAUGAAAAAUGGAAGCUUAGAACAAUGGUUACAUCCCGAAAUUGUAAAUGAAGAGCACCCAACAACAUUGGGCCUUGGACAAAGAUUAAACGUAAUUAUCGAUGUUGCUGAUGCAUUACAUUAUCUUCACCAAGAAUGUGAGCAAUUGGUCCUUCAUUGUGAUUUAAAGCCAAACAAUGUCCUCCUUGAUGAUGAUAUGGUUGCUCAUGUGAGUGAUUUUGGAAUAGCAAGACUUGUCUUAGCCAUUGGUGGAAGCUCUCAGAAGGAUAAUAGUACAAUUGGAAUUAAAGGGACGGUUGGUUAUGCUCCUCCAGGUACCUUCUAAAUUCUUGAAUCAUACAUUGUUUCUGUUACUUGUCCUAUGUUUUAGUGCAAACUUAAUAAUUUACUAGUGACAUAGUAUUAACAGCUUUUGCUACAUGUUUUAGAGUACGGAAUGGGUUCCAAAGUUUCCACAUGUGGUGACAUGUAUAGCUUUGGAAUCCUGGUGUUGGAAAUGCUUACCGGUAGAAGACCUACUGAUGAAGUUUUUGAAGAUGGUCAAAAUCUGCAUAACUUUGUUGCGAUUUCAUUUCCUGAUAACCUUAUGAAGAUUUUAGAUCCACGUCUUGUAUCAAGAGAUGUAGAAGUAGCAAUGCAAGAUGAAAAUCGGGAAAAUCUUAUUCCAACUAUUGAGGAGUGCUUAGUUUCACUUUUUAGGAUUGGAAUUAUUUGUUCAAUGGAAUCACCGAAAGAAAGAAUGAAUAUUGCAGAUGUCACUGGAGAGCUUAGCAAAAUCAAAAAGGCCUUUUUCAAUGGUGAGAUAAACUGAUAUUUUCAUAUGCUUAUUUGAAUCAAAACAAACUCAUUAAUUAAAUGUUGUUAGAGUUUGAAUUUAAUAAUCUUACUGUGCAUUUCAAAUUCCUAAGCAGUAAAAUACAAUGGUAAUAAUGUGUUUCUUCUUGAUUGAAAUUUCAGGUGUUCACGCUCAUAGUUAGCAAUAAAAGCUGAACUAAAUUUCUAAGAUAAUUUGUGGAAAGAGAAGCGUAUUCAGCUUGGAUUCACUGUUGUUAAGAAACUAAAUUUUUCAUCUGGAAGCACAUGCACAUUAUUCGCGGUGAAUUCGGUUUGAAACGUUUGAUUCUGUAUGAUUGUGCUUAAUUAAUGUAGAUUUUUGGAUUUUUCUUGCAACCUGCUAGUGUCUAUAAAAUAAGUAAUGCUGUAAUUGUUUCUAAUUCAAUGAAAUGAGACUUGCUUCCUGUAAUAUUGUUGUUUAGGUAUUUCGGAUAAUCCAUAAAGAUGGUCUAUGCAGCAGGGCUUAAUACAUUUUAAACACAUUACCUCAGUCUUUUUAUCGUCUUCUGUUUAGUUACUGAGUUUCCAUGUUUCCUUUUUUAUAGAAAUUUGGUAAGGCCUGUUCAGUGUACUGGUUUUCUAUGUUCAUUGAAGUUAUGUUGCAUCUAUGAUCAAAGGAUAAUUGAAAGUGUUUAACUACGAUACAGAGAAAACCAAAAAAGUAUGCUUUUACAACUUGUCUCCAUUGGUUUAUAAAAAAGCAGUGUAAGUGUCGGUGUCGUGUUGAUAAUAAGCAGUGUAAGUGUCGGUGUCGGUGUCCUAUGUUUUAUAAAAAAGUAUGAUAUAUAAUUUUAUACUAUGCCUCAUUAUAGCUUUCCUCCACCUUACCUUGUCUGGGAUCUGUUUGGCUCUGGCUUCAUAUAAUUUAGUAUUUGGACUUUUACUCAGGAAGUACAAAUUGUACAAUAACUCAAAAGGAAAAAUCAAACACAUAAAUCACACACAUAAGUCAAAAGAAAAAAGACAAACACAACAUGUCAAUCCUAGUCAAGAAUCAAACGGGACGAUAAUUUAGAAAAAUAACUUUUGUAUUGUACUUAAAUUUAUACUAUUUAUUUGUACUUAUAAGUUAUAGUUAUAUUAUUUGUAUACUAAAUGCAACAUCAUUUUAGAUAGAUAUAAAUUUUUGCCGCUACAUCAUAAACUAUCUAAAGUCCAAACAAUGAAAUGAUAUAUUUAUUUCAUUCGUCUUCAUUCGAUUUCACUCCACCCCACUGCUUCUUAGUCUGUCCGAUCAAUUGACUUGACUUUUCAAUAUAAUCUAUUCUUUUUUGUAUUCAUGUAUGCAAUAGAUUUUGCCACCGGUAUUUAAAUGCAAGAUGUAUCCUCUCUAAUCACACAAAUUAAACUAUCAAAUACAAACAAAACUAAACAGCAAAAACCUCUUAUACUAAACCAAAUGAGGUCUACACUUUCAUACCUUCAUAUGCUUUUUCUGUUUACAUUAAAUUUAAUAUGGUUUGGUCCAAACAAAAUUGCGGCAGAGGCUGCAUUAGGAAACCAAACAGAUCAUUUGACAUUGCUCAAAUUCAAAGAAUCAAUAUCCACCGAUCCAUAUAGAAUUCUUGAAUCUUGGAAUUCUUCCAUCCACUUCUGCAAGUGGAAGGGAGUCGAAUGCAGCCCGCUUAUGCAUGGAAGAGUUAUAGGUUUAUACCUAGGAGGAUAUCGUUUACGCGGACCUUUAUCUCCCCAUGUUGGCAAUCUCACUUUUCUGACAAAUCUCAAUCUUCAAAACAACAGCUUCUUUGGAGAAAUCCCACUAGAACUGGGCCAGUUGCUACAAUUGCAGCAACUUUUUCUCGGCAAUAACUUUUUUACCGGUGAAAUUCCUAGAAACUUGACAUAUUGUUCCAAUCUCACAUACCUGUAUUUGGGAGGGAACAAUUUAGUUGGCAAAAUACCAAAGGAAAUUGCCUCGAUGAAAAACCUUCAAUCUUUGCUUAUUUUAAACAACAAAUUAACCGGAGGAAUUCCUUCUUUCAUAGGCAAUCUUUCAGGUUUAAUGUAUUUUUCGGCUACUUAUAACAACUUAGGGGGAGAUAUUCCACAAGAAAUAUGUCGAGUUAAAAAAUUCACACUUUUACAAGUGGGUGUGAACAAUUUGUCUGGUAUAAUUCCUCCUUGUAUUUACAAUAUCUCAUCAUUUAUUUACUUCUCAGUAGCAGAGAACAACUUUCAUGGCUUUCUUCCACCCAACAUGUUCCGCACUCUCCCUAAUCUCCAAGUUUUUGCAAAUGGAGGAAAUCAAUUUUCAGGCCCAAUCCCCUCUUCCAUAAUAAAUGCUUCUUCUAUCUUUAGAUAUUUUGAUAUCGGUACAAACUAUUUUGUCGGACAAGUUCCAACUCUAGGAAGGAUAAAAAAUUUAGAGCAUCUGAAUUUGGAAGCCAACAAUUUAGGUAGCAAUUCAACUAAGGAUUUAGAGUUCUUAAAAUCUUUGACAAACUGUAGUAAACUAAAUGGGAUUUCUAUUGCCCAAAAUAACUUUGGAGGUACUUUGUCAAACUCUAUAGGCAAUUUAUCCACUGAGCUUACGGUACUACAUCUUGGGGGUAAUAUGAUAUCAGGAAAAAUUCCGGCGGAAUUAGGACAUCUAGUUGGCUUAAUAAUCUUAGAUAUGGAAUUUAACCAUUUUGAAGGAAUUAUUCCAACUACUUUUGGAAAGUUCCAAAUGUUGCAAAGCUUAUCUUUGAGUAAAAACAAACUGUCAGGAGAUAUACCACCCUUUAUAGGCAAUCUUAGUAAAUUGUUUUUAUUGGAAUUAGAACUUAAUAUGUUUGAAGGGGAUAUUCCUUCGAGCAUAGGAAACUGCAAACACUUGCAACAUCUAGAACUUUCACAUAACAAGCUUUCAGGGACCAUACCUGUAGAGGUUUUUAAUCUUUUUUCUUUAACAAACUUAUUGAAUUUGUCACACAACUCUUUGAGUGGUAACUUACCAAGAGAAGUGGGUUUGCUAAAAAAUAUUAAUUGGCUAGAUAUCUCUGAGAAUCAUUUGUCUGGGGAUAUUCCUGGAACUAUUGGUGAAUGCACAAGCUUAGAAUACCUUCAUUUGGAAGGGAACUCCUUCAACGGAACAAUACCACCCUCUUUGGCUUCUCGCAAAGGUCUGCGGUAUUUAGACCUUUCAAGAAAUCAAUUGGACGGACUAAUUCCUGAUGUUAUGCAAAAUAUCUCGAGUUUAGAGUACUUCAAUGUUUCUUUUAACAUGUUGGAAGGCGAGGUACCAACAGGUGGUGUCUUUGGAAAUGCAACCCAAGUAGCAAUUAUUGGAAACAAUAAACUUUGUGGAGGAAUUUCAAAGUUGCAUCUACCACCAUGCCCAAUCAAAGGUAGGAAACACGCAAAAAACCAUAAAUUGAAGUUGAUAGUGGUGCUAGUUAGUGUGGUUUCUUUUCUUCUCAUACUUUCAUUUAUUAUAAUUGUCAAUUGGAUAAGGAAAAGAAAUAAAAAAAGAUCUUUUGAUUCCUCACCUACAAUUGAUCAACUAGCUAAGGUUUCAUACCAAGACUUACAUCAAGGAACGGAUGGGUUCUCGAGUAGAAACUUAAUCGGAUCCGGAAAUUUUGGUUCUGUGUACAAAGGAAAUCUUGUGUCAGAAGAUAAUGUUGUUGCUGUAAAAGUCCUGAACCUCCAAAAGAAGGGAGCUCACAAGAGUUUCAUUGUUGAAUGUAAUGCGCUCAAGAAUAUUAGACAUCGAAAUUUAGUUAAGAUUUUAACAUGUUGUUCUAGUACAGAUUACAAAGGUCGGGACUUUAAAGCUUUAGUUUUUGAUUGCAUGAAAAACGGGAGUUUAGAACAAUGGUUGCAUCUCAACAUGUCAAAUGCAGAGCAUCCAACAACAUUGGACCUCAUUCAUAGAUUAAACAUCAUUAUUGAUGUUGCUUCUGCAUUACAUUAUCUUCAUCAAGAAUGUGAGCAAUUGGUCAUUCAUUGUGAUCUAAAGCCAAGCAAUGUCCUUCUGGAUGAUGACAUGGUUGCUCAUGUGAGUGAUUUUGGCAUAGCAAGACUUGUCUCAGCCAUUGGUGGUACCUCUCAUAAGAACACGAGUACAAUUGGAGUAAAAGGAACUGUUGGCUAUGCUCCUCCAGGUAUGUUCUAAAUUAUUGAAUGUUCCAUUGUUUCUUUGAAUCCUAAUAUGUUUUUGAGUAGACUUAAUAUUAUACUAGGGACAUAUAGUAUUAACAACUUUUGCUACAUGUUUUAGAGUAUGGGAUGGGUUCUGAAGUGUCCACAUAUGGCGACAUGUAUAGCUUUGGAAUCCUGAUGUUGGAAAUGCUUACUGGUAGAAGACCCGUUGAUGAAGCUUUCAAAGAUGGUCAAAAUCUGCAUAACUUUGUUGAAAUUUCAUUUCCUGGUAAUCUUAUGAAGAUUUUGGACCCACAUCUUGUAUCAAGAGAUGCACAAGUAGCAAUGCAAGAUGGAAAUGGUGUGAAUCUUAUUCCAACCGUUGAGGAGUGCUUAGUUUCACUUUUUAGGAUUGGACUUAUUUGUUCAAUGGAAUCACCGAAAGAAAGAAUGAAUAUUGCGGAUGUCACUAGAGAGCUUAGCAUAAUCAAAAAAGCCUUUCUCUCUGGUGAGACAAACAUAUAUUUUUAUAUGUUUAUUUGAAUCAUAACAAACUCAUUAAUUUCUUAUAGAGUUAUAAUUUGAUUUUAAUAAUGUUAUUGUGUAUUUGAAAUUCCUUAACAGCAGAAUACAAUGGUAAUGUGUUUCUUCUUGAUUGAACUUUCAGGUGUACGCACUCAUAAUUAGUAAUCAAAGCUGAACUAAAUUUCUAAGGUCAUUUGUGGAAAGAGUAUUGUAUUCAACUUGAUGCGUUGUUGUUAAGAAACUGAAUGGUCCUUCUGGAAGCACAUGUAACAAUUUCUAGUUAUUAGCAACAUUUGGUUCUGUAUGAUUGUGUUUAAUGUAGAUUUGCUUGCAUCCUACUAGUAGUUAUAAGUAAAGGAAAAUGAUAUAUACAGCGAAGGAUUUUUUCACGAAUCCAUCACGAUAGUGCAAUUUAGCCACAUAACACCACACCUACCUGUAUUCCGUCAAAUCCGGAAUUUAUGUGUUACCCAAACUGUUUUGCAAUUGUGUUGUAUAUAGGGGUCGUGAAAUUUCGUGAAACACCCAUUCGCUGGAUAUAGCACUCCUCAUAAGUAAAUAAUAUUGUUGUAUUACUUUCUAAUUCAGUGAAAUGAGAAUUGAUACUUCUCCUAUAUUUAUCUUAAAUUUCAUUUCUUUGUCACUGUAGUCUGUGGUUAAAACUGUGGGUGCAAAAUUAUGUGUAACAUAAUCAUUGUAUGAUCUUAAUUUUGGAUAAUCCAUUAGAAGAUUAUUUACUAGUAUAAAGUUAUAGUACAUUUGAGUCUCUGGAAGAUUCAAUUUAUAUAAGAUCACAGAAGGGAAGAGUUUGUUUGUUUGUUUGUAUGAAGAGUUAUAUACUCAUGCUUAAUCAAGCAACAAAUAAUGAAGUAUGAGACCAUAGUAUACAACAGAGGAUGUUCAUUUCCUUCUCUGUUUUGUUAUUUGAUUGAGCAAUAACAGAACAAUGAUGAACCAAAAUGAUCCAUAAUAUUAUCUCACGAAAUGACAUAUUUAUCGAAGAGGUGAGAAGACAUACCUAAAAGUUGUCUUCUUUCAACAUUUAUGGACCUAUGCAGCAGGGCUUCACACAUUUUCAAACACAUUACCUCAUUGGUCUCUAUCGAAUGCAGAACACAGGAACGUAAGAGUCUGUUUAGUUUCCGAGUUUCCAUGUUUCCUGUUUUCAUUUCCACCGAAAAUAAUACAUAAGAAUUAGAGAAUCCAUUAUAGAAAUUUGGUAAGGCCUGUUCAGCUUACUGGUUUCUAUGUUCAUUGAAGUUAUCUUGCAUCUAUGACAUGAUCAAAGGAUAAUUGAACAAUUUCCGAACUGAAAUGCAUAAACUUUCAAACAUGAAUGAGUUUGAAGAACACUAACAGAGUUAGACAGAAAACUGAUAAAAAAAGGUAAUGUACAUGUUUUAUGACUUAAAUAACUUAAAGGACCGCAAGAUAUAUUUUUCCAUAUACUAUCCUGAUACUUUGACACACAUGUUCAUAUCAAAUGAUUAUGCAAUAUUUUACCAUCUGAGUUGUACUUACAAGACAUAUGGACAUUAAUCUUAAUGAAAUAGGAAAUUAUUAUAUGUUAAUGUCAAAGUUUAUAGGAAUGAUAUAUAUGAUAAUAACUUUCUUUCCAACGGUUGAUUUUAAAAAAUAUAAUUGAAUGUAACCAUAUGUAUAACACACCAGACGUGCCUUCGAUCAGAAAUUUUGGUGCUUUAGAGGUUUAAAAGCAUUAUACAAGUUGAAGUAAUGACUGCAAAUGCCUCAGUUUAAUAGCAGGCAAGGCUUAUGUAAAAUCAUAGUAUGUUGAUUUCCAUAGAAAAAGUCAAAAUUUGAAUGCAAUGUAUAAAUAUCAAGAUACCAAUAAAGUCAAGCAUCUGCAUCUAUAUGCCAUGACCUUACAUUCUAUUCAAACCAUUUAAUUAGAAUAGUUACCAUUUAAAUAUGUUGGCUAAGAAUGUCAAAGCAAAUACCUGAUGUUUGUUUGAGUCAAUGAUGAAAGCUCCAUGUUUGAUUUCUCGGCUGUCUCGGUAAGUCGCUAAAGAGCUUGUUUGUCUUUCAAAAGGUCUAUACCUUCAUCUCUCUUGAAAUCUCCAGCCAACCAAUCAACAACUCUAAAUAUCAAACAGAUGAAAAUAAGAAACUGUCAAUAAACAUAUGUUGAUCAAUACAUUUAUAAUUAUUAAAUAGAACUAGAGUGAGGAAGAACAAGUCCAACCUUAUCAAAAUCAUCACCACCCAAGUGUAUCACCAGAGUAGACAAAACUUCAAAAACUCUGUCACCAACCUCAAGCACUGAAACAAAAUUCAAUACAAAUCAAGUCUCAAACCCUAUAAAAUAAAAAUUUGAAAGCAGGACAACAGGAAUGGCUUCCAAUACCUGAAACAUCAAAAGUACCACUUUCAAGGUCAUACACUUGCAAGAGCUAUACAUUCUUUGUUUGCCCAAUUUAAGUACUAGGUCUUCACUCAAAGGGAACUUACUCAACUCAUACCUUGCAAGUUGCAAGUACCAUCACAGCAACCAAGUCUUCACAAAGUUUUGUCUCUUUUCAACACUUUAAGGAAUCCAAAUCGUAUGUUGUCCAAAGAAGGCAAGAUUAGCUAGCUCCAACCAAUCCUUAACUUUAACUGCUAUGAUUCCAUGAUGCAAAAGUGUUCUACCAUCUCUGCAUUCAGCAAACAAAUAUGUAAAUGGCUUGUGAAAAUCACCUAAAGCAAUUAGUAGCUUGAUAAUUACAUCAUGAUAAUUGACCAGAAGUUGACUUUUUUAGGUUUGACUGUCAUAUGAAUUGUUAAUUGCAAAUAUUGCUGUGCUGUCAAAUGAAGCUUUUGUUAAGAAAAAAGAGGCCCAGUACAUGUUUCUAAACACUACCAAAGCAUUUUAAGCCAAACUAUGCUCACAAUAUUGACUAACAUAUAAUUAGGAGUGACAUAAAUGUGAAGGGCAUAUUCUACUGCAAGUUCCUCAUAAGCAACAAAAACACCACAAAGAUUAAAACACUUAGUUUUAAGAGAAUUAACUACAUGAAGCCUAACCAAAANNNNNNNNNNNNNNAUAAAUAAAAAACUUCAAAGAGUACCAAUGCAACAUGUUGGUAAAUGUGCAUUUAAUAGGUUUAAUAUUCACUCUUUGAAGACCUUUGGAUAAAGAUGGCAUUCCAAACAGCCACUUGGAGUGUAGGCAUUUCAUCAAACACUUGGAAGGCAAGUUAACAACAUUGUAAAUGAACACCAAUCAGGGUAUGAGCUCAACUGGCGUGGUCUUCCAUGAACUCUCCUCAAUAGCAGCACGGUGGAUGUUUCUUGAUGACACUGAGGCGACAACCUUGUCUGGUGGUUCCGGCAGCGGAAUUAUUUUCGACGUACGUGGUGAGAAUGAGAUGGAAUUGAGGGUUUAUGAUGGUAUUUAGGGUUUUUGGAUCAUCAAAAUCAGAAUUGAGGGAAUCAUAAUCAAAUUCAGAUUGAAGGGAAGGAAUUACUGUUCCGACCAACUUUUUUUCCGUCACUAAUUUUCGGUCUCUAAUAUUAUGUCUCUAAUUCGAUCGCUAAUAUUUUGGUCUCUUUAGUCUAAAACUCAUUUGUGACUGAUUUAGCAACGAAACUAUAUAUUUUACUAUAAAGUUUCUAAUUCGGUCGCUAAUGUGACCAAAAAAUUUUGUAUUUUUAUGUUUUUCUCCACCUAGUAUACCAUUUAAUUCAAGGAUAUAUAAUACAUAGGGACCAAAAACAAAAUCAUGGAUGCUCUCGCACCGCCUUCACUCAUGUUCAUAAUAGGUUAUUUUGUCAGCUCAGCGGUAAUUAUCGAACACAGAACACAAAAGCCCAAUAUUUCCAAAGUCCUACGGGCCCGUUUGGUGCGCAGGAUAGCAUAGUGACAGGAUAGGAUAUAAAACAGGAUAAGGAUAGGAUAUGAUAACAGCAGGAUAACAGUUAUACUCAGUUAUCAUAUCAUGUGUUUGGUGCACACAGGAUAANNNNNNNNNNNNNNNNNNNNNNNNNNNNNNNNNNNNNNNNNNNNNNNNNNNNNNNNNNNNNNNNNNNNNNNNNNNNNNNNNNNNNNNNNNNNNNNNNNNNNNNNNNNNNNNNNNNNNNNNNNNNNNNNNNNNNNNNNNNNNNNNNNNNNNNNNNNNNNNNNNNNNNNNNNNNNNNNNNNNNNNNNNNNNNNNAUAUUUUAUAAAAUAAAUCAGUAUUUUUUUUUCUUAUCCUAUCCUGCUGGUAACCCAGCUCAAAUUCAGGAUAAGAAUUAUAACUAGAGAGACAUGAUAGGAUAAGCUUCAGGAUUAACUUAUCAUAUCCUGCUGUAUCACCAAACAUUGGAUUGCGGCAGGAUAUGAUACAGUUAUCCUAUCAUGUCUCUUAUCCUGUGCACCAAACGGGCCCUACAUGUUUCAACUUUACUUCUACAAAUCUGAAAUUUCUUGUAUGAAACUUGAGAAUACAAAUACAUAUACAUUGCAGGUUGACUCAGUAACACAGAAACUCUUGGAUGCAAAACCACAAUUGUGUGUACAAUUUAUUUGGUCAUAAUUAAGAAACCUAUAGUUUUCUUAUAUACUACUGACUAAGACCUUAGGCUUCCACCCUUCUCCUUUCCUGUGUGUGACCUCCGCAACAGCAACAUCCCACAUCAGAAACCACAUAAGACUAUUUCCAGGAAGAUCAAUAAGUAAAGUUCAUGGAAAUUAGUGGAAUUUUUUCUUUUGAAACAAAAAAUUAUUGGAAUUGAAGUCCAUAUAUUUAGAUAACAUAUAAUAUAGUAAUUCACUUCCCAUAAACAAUCUAAAAGUCCAUAGAAAUUGAGUUAGUGCAUUUGGAAUUAUAGUUUCAUCCCUAGGCAUGCUGGCCUCCACUGGUUAAAGCCACAAUCAGAAUCAAGUAGCACUGGUUGGAAACUAAUGGCGUCUUUGGAAAUGCAACUCAAGUAGCACUGAUUGGAAACAACAAGCUUUGUGGAGGUAUUUCGCAUAUGCAUUUACCAUCAUGUCCUAUCACGCAUAGGAAACAUGCAAAACACCAUAAAGUCAAGUUGAUAGUUGCGAUAGUUGGUGUGAUUUCUUUUCUUUUCAUACUUUCAUUUGUUAUAAUUAUCUACCGGAUGAAGAAAAGAAAUCAAAAACGAUCUGUCGAUUCACCAAUUAUUGAUCAACUAACUAAGGUUUCGUACCAAGCCUUAGGCUCAGGAAGUUUUGGUUCUGUGUACAGAGGAAAUCUUAUGUCAGAAGAUAAUGUUGCUAUAAAGGUCCUGAACCUCCAAAAAAGGGGAGCUCACAAGAGUUUCAUUGUUGAAUGUAAUGCACUCAGAAAUAUUAGACACCGAAAUUAGUUAAGAUUUUAACAUGUUCUAGUACAGAUUACAAAGGCCAAGAAUUUAAAGCUUUAGUUUUUGAUUACAUGAAAAAUGGAAGCUUAGAACAAUGGUUGCAUCCUGAGAUUUUAAAUGCAGAGGCGCAGAGCCUCCAACAACAUUGGACCUCGGUCAAAGAUUAAACAUCAUUAUCGAUGUUGCUUCUGCAUUACAUUAUCUUCAUCAUGAAUGUGAGCAGUUGGUCAUUCACUGUGAUCUAAAGCCAAGCGAUGUCCUUCUUGAUAAUGACAUGGUUGCACAUGUGAAUGAUUUUGGCAUAUGAAAACUCAUCUUCACCAUUGGCGGUACCUCCCAUACAGAUACCAGUACAAUUGGAAUAAAGGGAACUGUUGGCUAUGCUCCCCCGGGUAUGUUCUAAAUUCUUGAAUAUUACUUUGNNNNNNNNNNNNNNNNNNNNNNNNNNNNNNNNNNNNNNNNNNNNNNNNNNNNNNNNNUCCUACAUAUGUUAGAGUAUGGAAUGGGUUCUGAAGUGUCCACAUGUGGUGACAUGUAUAGCUUUGGAAUCCUUGUGUUGGAAAUGCUUACUGGUAGAAGACCAACCGACGAAACUUUGGAAGAUGGUCAAAAUCUGCAUAACUUUGUUUGGAUUUCAUUUCCUGAUAAUCUUAUAAAGAUUUUAGACCCACAUAUUUUAUGAAGAGAUGCUGGAGUUUCAAUACAAGAUGGAAACAGUGAGAAUCUUAUUCCAAGGGUAGAGCAGUGCUUAGUUUCACUUUUUAAGAUUGGACUUGUUUGUUCGAUGGAGUCACCAAAAGAAAGAAUGAAUAUUGUGGAAGUCAAUAGAGAACUAAUCAUAAUCAAAAGGCCUUUCUUGCUGGUGAGAUAAACUGAUAUUUAUAUAUGCUUAUUUGAAUGAUAACAAACUCAUUAAUUGCUUAUGGAUUAUUAUUUGAUUUUAAUAAUCUUAUUGAGCAUUUCAAGUUCCUAAACAGCAAAAUACAAUGGUAAUAAUGUGCUUCUUCUUGAUUGAAAUUCCAGGUGUUCGCGCUCAUAAUUAGUAAUCAAAGCUGAACUAAAUUUCUACAGUCGUUUGUGGAAAGAGAACUGUAUUCAACUUGAUGCCAUGUUGUUAAGAAACUGAAUGGUUCUUCUGUAAGCACAUGUGACAAUUUCUAGUUAUUCAAUGACUUCGGUUUGGAACAUUUGGUUCUGUAUGAUUUGUCUGCAAUCUACUAGUUGCUAUAAAUAAGUAAUUAAUGUUGUAUUGCUUUCUGUUUCAAUGAAAUGAGAAUUGAUACUUCUCCAAUAUUUAUCUUCAAUUUCAUUUCUUUGUCAAGUAUUUUCUUUCAUUUCUUUGUAGUUAAAACUGUGGGUGCAAAAAUUGUAGAUCAUGCAUAUAUACAAAUUCAGAAUACCAAGUUGAUAAAAUGAAUACCUCUCCAUGAAAUUUGUAUUUAACACACUUGGAUACAGCAGAGGAUGUUCAUCUUUUAAUUUUCUGUUUUCUGAUUUGAUGGAGCAAUAACAGAUCAAUGAUGAUCAACCAAAAUCAUCAAUAUUAUUUCAUGAAAUUGAAAAGACGUUAUUUAUUUGAAGACAUACCUAAAAAGUUGUCUUGUUUCAACCGUUAUAUACAAAUUUCCUUAUUUACAUGAUUCGGAUUCAACACUCCUACCAUAAAAUUAAAUGUUAAGAAGUUUCACAUCGGAUGUGAGUUGGCCUGAACGUGGGUUUAUAAGUAAGAGACAAUUCUCACCUUACAAGCUGAUUUUGUAGAAUCGAGUUAGGCUCAACUCUCAAUUAUAAGACUAUUAGUGUGUCUUUUGUCUCUUGAAUUUUUAUGAGUGUAGUCCAACUCCUGUUAGUUUUUUCUGUUAAGAGCUUAUAUCGCUAGGGUAGCUACCCCAAACUAGCUACCCCAAUUAAUCUCUUGUAGUUCUUGUCGCGGCGCGAAAAAUAUCCUCGAGUGUAAACACUCGAAAAGAAACAGAGUCGCCACCGAAUUUUAUUUAGCCCAAAGAAGGGAAAGGAAAAUAUCGAGAAAACCUUAAGUGGUGAGAAAAAUGGGUUCGGGAGUUGGUUAUGCGAGGGGAAGGUAUUAGCACCCCUCACAUCCAUUGUACUCAACGGGAACCUUUUAGAGGGAAAUGUUUGUUUGCUUUAAUGUGUUUUUUAAUGUUUGCUUGAUUACUUGUUUCUUGCUUCAUCAAUAGAGAAGAUUUAUUUUUUAUUAUUAUUUAUGUUAUUAUGGAUGCGGGGAAAAAUGUUUGUUUUUUAUUAUUGUGCCCGACAAGAUGUUGAAUCCUGCUCCUACGUAUUCCCAGGUGCAAUGGGAAAAUCAGGGUUUCGUAGUUCAGGGUAAAAAAUGUUUGUGGGUUGGUUGUUUUUAGACGCAUGACGUCUAAGUCGCAUUCUCGUAUUUAAACGCUGCUUGUAUGCUCGCACUUUGGAGGCUUAAGCGCGGUUUGUAUUACGGAGAAAGGACGAAGUCACCCGUUUUAUGAAAAGAGUUUUACUUUUACUACGCGCGUGGGCAGUGAAAAGGUUUGAGUGUGUUGAGUUGAUUUUAGGAGUUUUAAUGAAAACGUCCGAGAAUGAGGAUAAUCCGAGUCACGAGCCAUACGUCAGGGCCUCGAAUUAUCCGGGGAAGAAAGCCAUACGUCAGACUNUUAAGUUCUUUUAUUUGAUUUAAGAAAAUCAAAAAGAAAGAUAAAGCAGAUGAUGAAGUGUUUUAAUGUUUUUUAGCGUUGGGGAAUGAGAAUGAUUCAAGUCACGAGCCAUACGUCAGGGUCUCGAAUCAUUCGGGGAGAGAAAGUCAUACGUCAGACUAACCCUUUUUCAUUCCAUUUAUUUUAAUUGUGAGGUUUUUUCAAGUAAAGAAGUGUUUUUGAGAAACAAACUUGAGAUAAAAGUAUUAAAUCAAGUAAAUAAUCCAAGCAUGAACUUAUUUGAAUAAGCACUUAUAUAAAUAAGCACUUAAAAGUAAAUAAAACGCUUCUGGGGUGCAAAACUGAUAUUGGGGGUGCGAAAAUGAAAUCUGGGGACUGGGCUUAACAAGUCAAGGCCCAACAUUAAAGUCAAGAAGGAGGUAAUCCAGUGUGUCAUGAAAGCAGAGGCACACAGUAGACGUCAUGGAUCUGAGCCUUUGAUUAAAUCAGACAGCUGUGGUUUAAAACUCACAUAGCAGAUCUCGGUCCUUGGAUUAAUCUAACGGAGGCGUUUUAAAAUGGAGGGAGCCAAUGACCUGUCGCCACGUCAUCGUCUUCAACCUCCUUCACCUUCUUUACUUGAAAAACAACAAAAGGGAAGCCAUGAAAAAGCUUUGAAGCUCACGGCCAACAACAACAACUUGGCCAAAACUUCAUCAAAAAUUACAAACUUAUAUACCGUUUCGCUCGAAAUAUUGCGUAGAUCAUGAUUAAAAACUUAGAUUUUUGAAAAGGUGUUUGUAUCUCAAAAAAAGUUCGAAACUUUAAAACCCAAAAAAACUUUAAAUUUCACAUUUGUACGAUUUAAGAAAAAUCAAGGGUUGGAAAAGCUUCAGAUGAUGUUCAGGAGUAAAAAGCGUUUAGAAUCUUACUGGUUUCGAGCUCUGUUUUGGUGGGUUAACACCUACUCUUUUCUUUGCUAUUUUGAACUUUGAGUAAGCUUCUCUCAACGGUUUUCCUUCGUUUUUUCUGGUGUGUUUCGCUACUGGUAUGUGUUAGAAGGGAUUAGUGAAAGAAAAUUGAAGUUUUAUGUGUGUAUUUGUGGAUUUCGAAUUUUGAGUGAAAAUGGUGAAAAGGAUGAGUUUUGGUUUUUUCUCUCACUCUUCUUCCUCUAACUAUCGCCCCCCAAUUUGUCCUCCCCUUGUUCUGAUUCGUUUGGAUCAAUUUAUAGGAUCAAUUGAUCAAUGCCUAUGACCAUUGGAUAAUUUUGAGUGUUGAUUAAAGUGUGCUUUGGCUGAAAAUUUGGUUUUGCAAAGAUAAAAGAAGAAAUGAAGUGAUUGGUCUUUCACACUUGAGUGUAAAACUUGAGAAACUUUUGCUUAAUUUGAGAUUGAGUUAAGAGUUGAAAAGGGUGAAGAAAUCUGAAAACAGGGGAAGGAGGCGUGCCCUGCUUCUACUGUUGCUACUACAGAGAAAAAGGAAGGGAAAGUGGCGUGCAGCAGUGCAAGCGGCACUGUUGCUGCUGUUGUUUCUUUUUUUCUUUUUUUAUUUAUUUUUUAUUAUAAUAAUAAUAAUAAAAUAAGUGAAAAAUAAUAAAUAAUAGGAUAAAAAAUAAUUUAAAAAAAGGUAGGAUAAAAUUAGGGUAUGACAGUUCUCUUUUAUGGGUCUUGUGUCCCCUUUUUUAACAAAACAAAAAAAGUGUAUUCCUAACGGUAACCUUUACUCAAUUUAGUGGAAAUGAAGUUCAUGGAAAUUCCAUUAGUGGAUUUGGAAUUGGAGCUUCCAUUAUUAUACAUGUUGAAAUUGACCAAGACUAAUAGAAUCAUACCGUAUAGAUAAUUGUUAAUAUUGUUUUGGCUAAUUAUUGAUAGCAUAUACUUCACUUCCCACAAACGAUAUCUAAAGUCCAUGGAAAUUGAUAAAGUUAGUGGAUUUGGAAUUAUGAGUAACUUAAGAAAUCCACUUGGGUACGUUACUAUGUUAGUAGUGGAUUUGGAAUUAUAGCUUCCAUUAUCAUAUACAUGUGCAUCUAUUAAGGAUGACGGGAAAUCUUAAACCCGAUAGAUCCACCUGAACUUAAACUCAAGUCAACGGACGAAACUCGAAUUGACUGGGUUUAGGUUUGGGUUCGGGUGGCACCCGGAUAUAUGGAUGUAGGUUUGGGUAGUAUCAAACCCGCACUCAUGGGCACCCAUUGUCAUCCCUACAUCUAUUGUUUGGUAGUUCCAAAAUAUAUUUGAAAGGUUGAAAUGGUUAAUUUGAAAUUCAAAUUUACAUUUUUGAAAGUCUUUUAAAGGUUGUGUCCCUUCAUCAUUUGACAUAAGUUUCUCUAUAAAUAGAGACACUUAGGAGACAGAAAAUACACAACAGAAAUUAUGUGUUUCCAUGAGUCACGAUUCUGUCUAAAUUAUUUCUAAAUCAUUUCUUCAUUUCUCUAGGGCACAAGGGUCAUUGAAGAAACUUUAUUCCGUAAAAUAUCGUUGAUCGAUAUGCUUGAUGUGUACGUGCAAUCCAUGUCAAGGUUUCCAAAGUAUCCUGAAAGGGAUUCGCCGAUGAACCCAUUUGCAUCCGGUUUACAUAAACUGGUGGGGACGAAUCGAACCUAAAGCUUAAUGUGUCCACGCACGCUUUGGAAUUUAUGUGCACCAUCAUCAUGUCUAUUUUCAUCAUCUUCUUGUUCGAGUAUUUGCAGCAAUCCACCAACACAAAACGUUCACACAAAAUAUAUAUUUCUAUGUUUACAAUUUUAAAUAUUAUUUAGACAUAUUCACAUUAAAAUAUACAUAUAUUAUUUAACUUAAGAUUACUUUGAUGAGAUGGUAAGAAAUAUCUUCCAGUUGUUGCAAAAACAAUAAUAAUAAAUAAUUUCUUCCAGCCAAAUCAAAUGUUUUGCGUUUGAGUUCAAUUCUCAGAAUGCAGCAGUGUUACAUUUUUUGAAUCAGUCCUGUGCUGAGGCAUAUUGUGUUUUUUGGAGGAUUCUAGUCCAAUUUGAUUAGUGGCGUGGCCGUCGAGUUGGUUGUUUCCUGAGUUUGUCGCUCUUGUGCUUACUUCUCCGUGCCUGCUCUGGUAGUGCCUAGGGUGUUGUUCGGUCUGUUUUCUUGUACUUCUUUUUUAUGUAUAUAAGCCUUUUCUUUUGAAAAAUUUACAAUCACCUUCCUUAAGGUUACCCUUAAAUGACAGAGACAUCCGCUCUAGUUUUUAAAAAAUACUCACCUCCAUUUAAUUUAACCCCGUUAAAAUACCGUUAAAGAAAAAUUGUCACGUCUCACAAAUUGCUUCUCAACUCUUUGUAAGCGAGAGCCCUGAAUUCUAAAACAGUUAUGGCGCGCAGAACUCUUUGUACUCUUAACGCAAAUUUGAACGCCAUAUUCCAUCCGGCUUGCUUGCUCUAUAUAUAGUUGUGCCAUUUAUGAGGGGUUAUGUUACUUGAUGUUUCUCGAUUGGAAAAAUUUAACUAAAAGGACUAACUUGAAACUUCUUAAACUUAAGGGACCAAAUUAAAACCUAAAAUAAACAUAACGACCAAAUAUACAAUUAAGCCUAAAACCUAUUAAACUAUAUAAGGACAAAAAAAAUUAAAUUUCCAUUCACCGCUAGAUCUUGCCACCAGUAUAUAUAUGCAUAUGAAUGCUUCCUCUCUAUAUUCCCACAAAACUAUCAAACACAAACAAAACUAAAUAUCAUAAACCACUCUCCUCUAAACAAAAUGAAGUCUUUUUCUUUCUUGUCACCUACACUUUUAUACCUUCAUCUGCUUUUUCAGUUUACCUUUAAUUUAAUGUGCUUUGGCCCAAACAAAAUUGUAGCAAUGGCUACAAUAUUAGGAAACCAAACAGAUCAUUUUGCAUUGCUCAAAUUUAAAGAACCAAUAUCCGAUGAUCCAAAUGGAAUCUUAGAUUCUUGGAACUCUUCCAUCCACUUUUGUAAGUGGGGUGGAAUCACAUGCAACCCCAUGCAUCAACGAGUUAUAGGAUUGAACCUAGNNNNNNNNNNNNNNNNNNNNNNNNNNNNNNNNNNNNNNNNNNNNNNNNNNNNNNNNNNNNNNNNNNNNNNNNNNNNCAAUUGCAACAACUUUAUCUCACCAAUAACUCUUUUGUAGGUGAAAUUCCUACAAACUUGACAUAUUGCUCCAAUCUUAAAGACUUAUUCCUGUCAGGGAACAAUCUCAUUGGUAAAAUACCAAUUGCAAUUGCCUCGUUGAAAAUGCUUCAAAGAAUGACUCUUUCUAGUAACAAAUUAACUGGAGGAAUCCCUUCAUUCAUAGGGAAUCUUUCAUGCUUAACGCAGUUUUCGUUUGCCGAUAACAACUUAGAAGGAGAUAUUCCACAGGCAAUUUGUCUCCUAAAAAAGUUGACAGUUUUACGAGUGGGUGUGAACAAUUUGUCAGGUACCCCUCCUUCUUGUCUUUACAACAUCACCUCACUUACUAUAUUUUUCAUGGCAAUAAAUAACUUUCAUGGCCCUCUUCCACCCAACAUGUUUCACACUCUCCCAAAUAUCCAAAUGUUUGGUAUUGCAAAAAAUCAAUUUUCAGGUCCAAUCCCCACUUCUAUAAACGCAUCUUCUUCCAUUAAUUUUCUUGAUAUCCCUGACAAUAAUUUUGUUGGACAAGUUCCAAGUCUAGGAAAGCUAAAAGAUUUAUACCAUCUAAAUUUGGAACGAAACAAUUUAGGUAACAAUUCCGCUAAGGAUUUAGAGUUUUUAAAACCUUUGACAAACUGUAGUAAAUUGUAUUUGCUUUCUUUUGACACAAAUAACUUUGGAGGCGUUCUGCCAAAUUCUAUAGGCAAUUUAAGCAAUGAGCUUAAAAUGCUAUAUCUUGGGUGUAACAUGAUAUCAUGAAAAAUUCCUGCUGAAUUAGGACAUCUAGUUGGCUUAAUAUCCUUGUACUUGGAAUCUAACCACCUUGAAGGAGUUAUUCCAACUACUUUUGGAAAGUUUCAAAAAUUGCAACUGUUAAGUUUAAGAAAUAACCAGUUGUCAGGAGAUAUACCACACUUUGUAGGUAAUCUCAGUCAAUUGUUUAUUUUGGAUUUAUAUGAUAAUACAUUUGAGGGAAAUAUUCCUCCAAGCAUAGGAAACUGCCAAAAGUUACAAUAUCUAAAACUUUCACAAAAUAAGUUUAGAGGAACCAUACCUUUAGAGGUUUUUAAUCUUUUUUCUUUAACAAACCUCUUGGACUUGUCACAUAACUCUUUGAGUGGUAGCUUACCAAAAGAAGUGGGUAUGCUAAAAAAUAUAGAUUGGCUAGAUGUUUCUGAAAAUCAUUUGUCUGGGAAUAUUCCUGAAACUAUUGGUGAAUGUGUAAGCUUAGAGUACCUCAAUUUACAAGGGAAUUCCUUCAACGGAACAAUACCAUCCUCUUUGGCUUCUCACAAAGGUCUGCGAUAUUUGGACCUAUCAAGAAAUCAAUUCUACGGACCAAUUCCUGAUGCUAUGCAAAACAUCUCUAGCUUAGAAUACUUGGAUGUUUCUUACAACAUGUUGGAAGGUGAGGUGCCGAUAUAUGGUGUAUUUGGAAAUGCAAC
rnacentral:lncRNA from 1 species